UGUUGUAACAGUACUAAAGUGUAAACAUCUCUCCUCCAUUAACAACCAUGAAGCUGACCGGUCUAGUCCUCAUGAUCAUGGCGGUGCUCGCGCUGUUUGUAGGCGCUGGUCAAGCCGACCCUAAAUCACCAGACCCUUUUAGAAACCAUGUUAGAAUUUACCGGAAUAAACUUACUCCAAGACCUAUUUCUCCUGAAAAUAUCGACCGUUUAUACAGACUCUAUGGACAAGCAUAAGAAACAUUUCUUAUUAUUGUAUUCUCUUGCGCUGUAGCUUUACUUUACAUGUACAAUACAUUUGUAUGUCAUCUA